GGGUUUGACAUGCCGAGUACCGAUGGAAACAUUGGGGUGCCCCGUAAGGGGAACUUGGACACAGGUGCUGCAUGGCUGUCGUCAGCUCGUGCCGUGAGGUGUUCGGGUUAAGUCCCGCAACGAGCGCAACCCUCACCCUUAGUUGCCAUCAUUAAGUUGGGCACCUAGGGAACUGCCGCAGUUAAUGCGGAGGAAGGUGGGGAUGACGUCAAGUCCUCAUGGCCCUUAUAUCCAGGGCUACACACGUGCUACAAUGGACGGUACAAAGGGUCGCGAACCUGCAAAGGGGAGCUAACCCCAGAAAACCGCUCUCAGUUCGGAUUGGAGUCUGCAACCCGACUCCAUGAAGUUGGAAUCGCUAGUAAUCGCGGAUCAGAACGCCGCGGUGAAUACGUUCCCGGGCCUU
rnacentral:rRNA from 1 species